UACGUAGGUGGCGAGCGUUGUCCGGAUUUACUGGGCGUAAAGAGCGCGCAGGCGGCUGGUCAAGUCCGAUGUGAAAGCUCCCGGCUUAACUGGGAAAUUGCAUCGGAAACUGAUCGGCUGGAAGGUGGGAGAGGGUAGCGGAAUUCCCGGUGUAGUGGUGAAAUGCGUAGAUAUCAGGAGGAACACCGGUGGCGAAGGCGGCAUCCUGGACCGGCAUUGACGCUGAGGCGCGAAAGCUAGGGGAGCAAACGGG
rnacentral:rRNA from 1 species